GGGGGCGUAGCUCAGAUGGUAGAGCGCUCGCUUAGCAUGCGAGAGGUACUGGGAUCGAUACCCCAGCGCCUCCA